ACGAGGUUUGCAAGCGAGAACUGUCGAAAUUAAAGCCAGAAGAACAAGAGAAAUUACAACAAGAAAUAAUGAGCGAAUCGAAGAAUGCCACUGAAUCCAGAAAAGUAAAGCUUGAAUAACUAAAAUGAAGGCAAUGUUGCUAAGUUAAACACAAUUACAGAAAUUAAAAUCAAUUCAAAGUCUA